UCUGUAGAGUUAGACCAGGUCCAGGUCUGUAGAGUUAGACCAGGUCUGUAGAGUUAGACCAGGUCUGUAGAGUAAGACCAGGUCUGUAGAGUUAGACCAGGUCUGUAGAGUUAGACCAGGUCUGUAGAGUUAGACCAGGUCCAGGUCUGUAGAGUUA